AAAGAAAUCGUUAAGGGCGUAUGGCGGAUGCCUAGGCUUUCAGAGGCGACGAAGGACGUGGUAAGCUGCGAAAAGCUGCGGGGAUUGGCACACACGAAUUGAUCCGCAGAUAUCCGAAUGGGGCAACCCGGCAUAUUGAAGAUAUGUCACCUCGCAAGAGGAGCAAACCCGGAGAACUGAAACAUCUAAGUACCCGGAGGAAAAGAAAUCGAAGAGAUUCCGUAAGUAGUGGCGAGCGAAAGCGGAUUAGCCCAAAAGUCUUUAUAUAUUUAGAAGAAUGUUCUGGAAAGAACAGCCAUAGAAGGUGAUAGCCCUGUAUUUGAAAGGUAUAUUAAGAUGAUAAAUGAGUAGGGCGGGACACGUGAAAU
rnacentral:rRNA from 2 species